GUGCCAGCAGCCGCGGUAAUACGAGGGGGGCGAGCGUUGUUCGGAAUUAUUGGGCGUAAAGGGCGCGUAGGCGGUUGGAUAAGUCUUGUGUGAAAUCUUCGGGCUCAACUCGAAGUCUGCACGAGAAACUAUCUGGCUUGAGUGUGGGAGAGGUGAGUGGAAUUCCUGGUGUAGCGGUGAAAUGCGUAGAUAUCAGGAGGAACACCUGUGGCGAAAGCGGCUCACUGGACCACAACUGACGCUGAGGCGCGAAAGCUAGGGGAGCAAACAGGAUUAGAUACCCUGGUAGUCC
rnacentral:rRNA from 1 species